AGUGAACGCUGGCGGUAGGCCUAACACAUGCAAGUCGAACGGCAGCACAGUAAGAGCUUGCUCUUACGGGUGGCGAGUGGCGGACGGGUGAGGAAUACUUCGGAAUCUACUUUUUCGUGGGGGAUAACGUAGGGAAACUUACGCUAAUACCGCAUACGACCUACGGGUGAAAGCAGGGGAUCUUCGGACCUUGCGCGAUUGAAUGAGCCGAUGUCGGAUUAGCUAGUUGGCGGGGUAAAGGCCCACCAAGGCGACGAUCCGUAGCUGGUCUGAGAGGAUGAUCAGCCACACUGGAACUGAGGCACGGUCCAGACUCCUACGGGAGGCAGCAGUGGGGAAUAUUGGACAAUGGGCGCAAGCCUGAUCCAGCCAUACCGCGUGGGUGAAGAAGGCCUUCGGGUUGUAAAGCCCUUUUGUUGGGAAAGAAAAGCAGCAGGUUAAUACCCCGCUGUUCUGACGGUACCCAAAGAAUAAGCACCGGCUAACUUCGUG
rnacentral:rRNA from 1 species